rnacentral:rRNA from 1 species
CUACUUAGGGUGCGAGCGUUAAUCGGAAUUACCGGGCGUAAAGCGAGUGUAGGCGGCUAUAUAAGUCGGAUGUGAAAGCCCCGGGCUCAACCUGGGAAUUGCAUUCGAAACUGUAUAGCUAGAGUUUGGUAGAGGUAAGUGGAAUUCAGGGUGUAGCGGUGAAAUGCGUAGAUAUCCUGAGGAACAUCAGUGGCGAAGGCGGCUUACUGGACCAAAACUGACGCUGAGGCUCGAAAGCGUGGGGAGCAAACAGGAUUAGAUACCCCUGUAGUCC